rnacentral:rRNA from 1 species
UACGGGGGGGGCAAGCGUUGUUCGGAAUUACUGGGCGUAAAGGGCGCGUAGGCGGCCUUCUAAGUCGGACGUGAAAUCCCUCGGCUUAACCGAGGAACUGCGUCCGAGACUGAAAGGCUUGAAUCCGGGAGAGGGAUGUGGAAUUCCAGGUGUAGCGGUGAAAUGCGUAGAUAUCGGGAGGAACACCAAUGGCGAAGGCAGCUUGCUGGGACGGUACUGACGCUGAGGCGCGAAAGCGUGGGGAGCAAACAGG